CGCUCAAACUACACACCCGGAGCUGAUGAAUACGAAGAAGAAGGUUCAAGAAGGCGUUAUCUCAACCCUCAAUUUAAUUGGCCCAUUUAAAAUCAUCGAUCGAGUAGGAACUGUGGCCUAUAGACUCAUUUUACCUCCAAGUAUGUCGCGUGUUCAUAACGUUUUUCACGUAUCGUUGUUAGUAAAAAACUUAGUCUUGGGGGACUUUGGAGCCAAAUUUCGGAAUAAUUAAUAAAUCUAAAAAAUUAUGAAAUUAUGGGGGUUUUAUAAAGCAUGUUACAAGCUUUCCAUAGCCUCAAAAACGGACUAAUUCCG
rnacentral:lncRNA from 1 species